CAGAGGGGGCUAGCGUUGUUCGGAAUUACUGGGCGUAAAGGGCGCGUAGGCGGCCCGCUAAGUCGAACGUGAAAUCCCCGGGCUCAACCCGGGAACUGCGUCCGAUACUGGCAGGCUUGAAUCCGGGAGAGGGAUGUGGAAUUCCAGGUGUAGCGGUGAAAUGCGUAGAUAUCUGGAGGAACACCGGUGGCGAAGGCGGCAUCCUGGACCGGUAUUGACGCUGAGGCGCGAAAGCCAGGGGAACAAACGGGAUUAGAUACCCCGGUAGUCCUGGCCCUAAACGAUGAAUGCUUGGUGUGGCGGGUAUCGAUCCCUGCCGUGCCGAAGCUAACGCAUUAAGCAUUCCGCCUGGGGAGUACGGUCGCAAGGCUG
rnacentral:rRNA from 1 species